CUAAAUAGCACAAAAUAGAAGAACUUUCAACAGGAAGGCCCUGAAUCCUUCCUUCUCACUGGAAAUCUGGAUAACUGUUGUGAUACCCAGGCUGAUUUCACAAGCAGAAUAUGGAAAUCUGGCCUCACAGACAGAUGAGGAAAAUCCGUCAUUGACUUCAGUAUGGCAAGUUUUUUCCAUCUAUGAUUCCUUGACCUGUCUCAUUCUUGGUCAGACAACUAAAUUACUUGUUUUAAGGAUUUUUUUUUCCCUUGUAAAACAGCUGUUUUAUUUCUACAUAGAUUAGAAAAAUAUGACUAAGGGGUUUUUUUUGUUGUUGUUUUUCUUUAAUAGAAAAUCCUUAACAGUUCCUUGUAUAUUUAAAAUGUGAAAACUGUGGGUUCAUCUUAGAAAAGGAGCCAAAGUUUAAGCCAGUUCUGUCUGAGCUGAAGCAAUGCUGCAUCCCAGUUGUCAAGCAUUGAGAUGAGUGACCAGUGAUAGGAAAUUUUUGCUUUUUUAUCUGUGUCUGAUAAAAUCUUUAAAUUAGGUUCCUAUUUCCUAACAUAAAACAGUGACAUGUAAGCAGUAAGCACAUCACAGGGUUAAUCACUGGGGUUUUCUGGAAGAAUAAUGUGGACCACAAACCUUCUCUGCCCAGCAAGGUUGAGCUGCAGAGUGGGAACUCUGAUUUGUGCUGCCAGGGUUAAGAAGAAACAGUGAUGGAGAAUGGCAGGCAGGCCAGGCAAUAGCUACUGAAAUAACUGUCCCACAGACAGGGAUUGGUGUAUCUUGUUGACCACGACAAUUGUCUUCAAAAUCUUGUCACAAAUUCCCUGAUGAAGACAACCUUCUGCUACACCUUUUCUCACCUUUCUCUCACCAGUAGUGAGAUGAAUCUACAUUACUAGCUACAAUAUUCAAAAUAAAACUACUAAGGUCAGCUGAAAGUGUCAAUAAUGAGAUUUUUCUGAGGGUGAAGUAGUUUAAUCAAAGUUUAACCUUCAUCUUAGUCUUUCAGUAAAAACAAGACUCUUUCUCCAGGGUGUAUCAUCUAAACUGGCAACUACAAAUUUAUUUACAGAACUUAAUCAAAAUUGUGCAAAACUCUUUCAAACAUUUAUCAAUGUCAUGCCAAUAUAAAUCAGAAUAAAUUUCAAAGUAUGCAAAUAAAAUGUUACACAAGCAUACUCUAGAGACUUUUCUUACCCCAAGUGGUGAUUUAUUAAUUAACUUUUUGUCCAUUUCUGUCAAUUGCCAGUAAGAGUCCUAAGUUCUGUCUGUUGUUUCUAGUAACAGGAGCAAGACUCAUGCAAAUUUGGAGAUAACACAUAGUUGCAGCCUUCUAAAAUGGGGAAAUGACGGAUUUCUUAACAAGCUGUCAAACUAAUCUUGCAUCUGUUUAGUCAGUCCUGGAUGAAACUGCCCAUUGUGAUGCCAAAUAGAAAGUGAGUUGUGAUUAUGAGCCUCCCUUUAGUGCUUGUCAGCUAUGAGUCUGUUUCUGGCCAUCUCCUUCUCUUAUAGAAACAUCGUACCUUCAAGAGGUGGGAGUGAUUUUUGUUUGCUGCACCAGCACUAGAAGAUGGGAGGGGGUGUGCAUAUAUAAUAGACAUUUGUAUAGAAUAUCUUAAACACCUGAUCUAGUGUAUGAAAAUGUUAUGCAGAUCAGUGUUACUGGGAAUGCUAUUUAAAAAAAACACCAACAAUUGAAGCAUUGACAGGUUUAAUGACUUGUCUAGGUUAUAUAAGAAAAUUGUGGGAGAAUUAAAAACUGCCACACAUCCUCCCAAACUCACAAAAUCAUCUUACUCACAGACAGGCCUCUAGAAAGGAUUCAUCUAAAUGCUAUAUUCCUUGGAAACUAAACUCCAAUGCUUAUUUCCUCUCUCCAUAAAAUGAAUAAUUUGUUCACCUUUUCCUUCUUUCUCUCUGUGGCUUAAAGUUAAAGGGGCCACAGCAGCUGCAGCAUGGUUCUUCUGGGUACAUACUGCUUGUUCUGCAUUGCUUUAGCAGCUGUCAUCAAUACCCAUCAGCAAAUGUUCAUAUGAAGUUAUUAUUAUCUUGUUAAAAAUAUGACACAUAACCUCAAGGAUGAACACUGAUGAAAAAGCAAGCUGUCAGAUACUGAUUCAAAAGGCUCAGGACUGCUCAUCUGGAACUAAGGGUGCCACAAGGUCAAGUACUUCCCCUUAUUCAACCACACACAAUACCCCUGUAUUGUGCUGCUCUGUAUUUGUAGUUUUAAGCAUUUACUAUCUUUGGUAUUGGAUUGUUCCACCAGCAAUCAAGGUUUGAAGUGAAGGGGAAGCUUUUUUGGAAAGCUUGUGGUCUUAAUCCAGGCUUGCUUCUUGAAACUAGAUUUUAAGGAUGGCAGUGUAAGACUUCAAGCUGCAAGUAAGGCUAGGUCAGUUUCUGCAUAGUUUUCUGAAAGUGGGUGAAGGUAACACCUUCCUAAGGAAAAGAAUGUCAAGCUGUAAAACUGCAGGCAGAGAGGCAGAGUGUAGCUGUGGGGUUUUCUAGGGCCUUCUUUAUGGAAGAAUUGAAGUGUGUUGACAAGCAACAUCUUACCUGGCUUGUGAUACCCCUUGGGACAGUAAAAGUAUUAGUGGCCCUUUGGGUCAUUUCCAGUCUCAACACUGAAAUUUGCAUGAAAUUUAAGAAGAGAUUCCUCUCUGGUCUUCUCUUUUUGUUGUUUUAAUCAAUGAAUGAGGAUGCUUAGGUAAAUGUUCCUUCCUUUGCUGCGCUGGUAACCCAGCCCUCAGAGUGAUGGGUUUGAGCCUGAGGAUUUCCAAGUGGCUCUGCUCAAUGGGAAAGCUGUCACUGACUGUCUGCCUCCUUCAAGCUGACCACAGUGCAGUCUGUAAAUUAAGUGCUUGGGGAAGUAUGGGUUGUUUACCUGAAUCAUAUAGAGUGUAUCAUCCCUCUUUUUUUUUGCAUUUAGAAAGAAACAUGGGUAAAAUUUCUCAUGAAGCUCUGACGAUGAAGCUGUACCCUCUUUGCUGUAUCUUGCUCAUUGCUGUGCAGAUACUGGAAAGACAUGGAGAACUUUAUUGAAGAGGGAGGAAACAUUUACAAACAGUAGCUAUGUUACUUCUCAAGCCAGGAAAAACAAAAACAAAACAAAAAAAACCCCACCAAAAAAACCCCAACAAAAACCAGAAAAAAACAUAUUUAAAUGUCAGGAAGUGGUUCUUAAGGGAAUAAUUCUCCCAAGGACUUGUGCCACUUUUAGCCUUGACCAUGUAAGCAGAGCACAGCAGCUCUCGAAGGACACGUGUGGGGCACUGGCUCCAUGGGGCACGUGGAAACACGCUGCACAGUCUGAGUGAAGAGGGAGAGAUGGCACCUGCAUGCCUCAGGGGAGGGGAUACCUCAGAAAAGGUAGGUAUAGAAAGGGUUACAGACGACUAGAUUGUUUCUCUUGGAAGUCUAGAGAAUUACUUCUUUUGUUGCCCAUUAUGUAGCAAAGUCCCCUGUUUUUUUACGAUUAGAAAUAAAACCUCGUCUUGUGCCAGAGCAGCUGCAGUGCUGGGUGUUCUGGCUAGCAAGGGACAAGGUGAAGUACACUCACAUCACGUUCUCUGAAGCACAGAGCAGCGGGGCAGUGCGAGAAGCAGCCCUGCCUUACCCAGCUGAGAUGGAGCCCCUUCUGCCUGUCCCAUGUGGGGCGAGGGAAUGGAUGAAGCCCACCUGGAGCCAGCCUUUCCGGGGGCCUUUGCAUGGCUCUUCCCAGAAGACAAGCAUGCCUUCGGCCCUUUCCACUGAAAAGAAGCCCUGGGGAGAAGUACCAAUGGCUCAGCGCAAAGCAAAAGAUCGGGUGUGCUCCCAAGCGCGUGGUGAAAAAAAGAUACAGCUGGGUAGGCUGCUAAUCCCUUGGUGGAAACAUUCUUAAUUAUGCAACAGGCAGCCUUAAAUAACCUCCUAGAACAAGGGCAAACGCUUCUUCCCUUUUGAUGCCACACCUUCUUAAAGAGGGAGAGAAGCGCUGAGAUGCAGUAGAGACGGGCAGCCGCUGUGAAGCGCUGCGGGCUUCCCAGGGCGGCUGCGGAGCGCGGGGUGCCCCAGCAAGGAUUGGUGCUGGAAAGGCGGUGUUUGGGACAGGGCAAAGGGCUCAUUUGCAGAGGGGAAGAUGAAAGGCGGCAGGCAGGCCAGCUGCUGGCCAAGCGGGCAGGAGAAGGCUGUGACAAGCAAGGGGAAGGCAAAAAAAGAUAAGGCUAAAAGAGGAACUAGGAAGGAGAACCUGCCCACUAGGAAACUUAUUUUAGCUGCCAGUAUGACAACUCUCACUGCACGACAGCAGCUGUGCCGACCACGGGCACUGCCCUGAUGCCUGAGCCGAGUCACCCGGCACAGUCUCUGCCACUGGAAAGCACCAUCAGGGACACAUGGUGAUGCCAGAGCAGACGGGAGACCGUGCACACAGCAAAGCUCUGGGGCUCCACCAGCCCCUGGAAGACAGUGGAACAGUGGGAACUGAAGGCAUCAUUGAGGACACCAGAUGAGUGUGCAGGAUGUGCUGCUCCAGCCUGCUUCCUGUUUGACAUCUUCUGGCCACAAUCACUUUUGAAAUGUAUGAAAGUACCUGUGACGCUUUGAAAAAAUAUGACAAUAUUUUCAUGUUGCUUUGAGAGAUGUGGCUGGAGAUAACAGUGUAUCUAAAACAACUCAUCAUGAACUGAACUAAAAAAUAAUUGAGACUUAUGUAUGAGUGUUUCCACCUAAGGUACACAGAACUGUGAAAAGUACUUAGAUAAAGUGUCUGAAGAACUAGAACUACUUUCACAUGGGAAAGGAAGAGGUUGAAUGAACCAUUAAAUACUUCCAACUUAGAUUUUCAGUAGAGAGACUUUAAGGAGGAAAGAUAUCACCUAAAUUUUGCAGAAUUUAUUUUUAAAACAUCAGUCUGUGGAAAUUCUAGACUCUGGACAAAAGAAAGCGAAGUGACAGAAACCAGAAUAAACCACGCAGUCUAACAAAAAGCUGCACAAUCUACUAAACCCUAUCUUGUGAUGACAAACCAUGUGAAAUCUGUGCAGAUAAGCCAUCACCAGUGGCUAGAUUCCCCUGUGUCUUACUGAGAAGAGGUGGGGAGGGAUAUGCAUAAUUAAUACCCAGGGGAAAAGUAGGGAACAUCUGGUGAAGUAAUCCCCAUUACACUCAAGUGGGUAUUGAUCAAAUGAAAUAAAAUAUGCUUUUGUAGCAAUAUUUCUCUGGAGAGAGUCCAAGCAAAGUAGCAGGGGAGCUGAGAUGUGGCCUGUUGGAACAUCGUCCCACCCAUUGCUUCAUGCCUGGAGGGGCAGAGGAGGUGGGACAGGGGGAGAUCUGCUGAGAGGGGUCCAUGUACUGCAAUGCUGAUGGGUAUGAAGGCAGACUCAUACAGUAUGAGUAUUUAAGGGUAAAUUUUUUAAUUAAGAUUUUCACAUGGUCUUUGAUUAAGAUAGAAGAGGACUAAUGUGAAUAUUUGAAGACUGGAAAAAAAUCACCUGCAAGAGAAGUUUCUGGGUGUGGUGUGACUUAUCUUUUCCUGUUUCUCACUGUUAUUCAGUGAGAUGAUGGCUUUGUAAUUGAAAUAAUCUUGACAUGAUAAACUUAGUUCUGGUGACAAGAUAAAUAAUGGUGUAAGCAAGACCUCAUUUUCCUGUUACUGGUUUCUUUGGUUAAGUAACUUACGUUAGUUAUGGAGGAAGGCAAGGUACAAUGCAAAUAUACCCUGUCCUCUUAUCCAGCCUUUCAGUAAUAUUGUAUUGUGCCAGGCAAGGACUUAAGGUUUUUGACAUUGACGUUAUGUACAAUGGUGUUGGAAAAACCUUGUGUUGCUUUGACAGAGAUAACUUUACAAUGAUAAUCUGCAGUCUGAAAAAAACUCCAAAAAACAGCAUAGCAACAAAAUGGUCUGCUUUCUCUUUCUUCACCCUGAACAGAAUUUUUCAGGAAAAAUUACUGCUGCAAAAUGUUGCCUCUUAAAUCUGCAAUUACAGUUCUCUUGAAAUUUCAAGGCCUGGAAUUAUUUAGCGCACAGAUACCUUGAUUCAGUUGCUGUGAGCAAGGCAAAGAAAGAGCUCUGCACCUUGGUCUGCCCGAAGUGACUGGUGCAGUGUAAAUGUGUCCAUCCACAUUCAUGCCUCCAGCUCUCUACACAAUCUUUUUGAAAAGAGAUGAAUGGAUGAACCAGACUUUAAUGGCAAAAAAGCUUGUCUAUUUGUGGAUGACUGGGGCAAUGUCAGUGGUUAGAAACUAAGAUCUAACUCAUGCUUCACUGCACAUUUUGGAUUGGGGCGGAUGGCUGUGUUGGGCAGGAGAAACAUUGCUGAGGUGUUCCUUCCUCCCAUGCUGGAAACACACUUGUUUGGGGACUUUCUGAGACAUAUGCUUUUAAAAUUCACAGAAAAUGUGACAAAACCUAAAAAAAACCCCAGCAGAUUCAGCCAAGACUGUGUUUAAGGAAGCAGCAAAGAGACUUCAAGAGGUUUUGUCAUGUACCUUAAAGACCCUGGGCUGUUAUUUUGUGUGAUAUGAGGGGAACUGAUGGGAGCUUCAUUGAACUUGGGGUAAAAAUAGGAUUCAAUGAGCUGACUUUCCCAGUUUUGUAUAUUGCUUUGACCCCAAGGGGAAUGCUCUGGCUCUUGCACUCAGGGAUCACUCAGGGUAUUACAGGUAUGGAUGCCCUGACCUGCCUGAGUACCCUGCCAGGAAAUGCCUCAACUUACAAACAUAGGGACUUCAUAGUAAAGUGGCAGUGCUGGUGUCUGCUGGCAUACAAAAUGCAUGAAGAUGAGUUAAAAAUGGAAGUCCUGCUUAGAAGGACCUCCUGCUUCCUGGAUGAGGAAGUUCCUCACAUGGAAAAAGGUGAGGUGACCGGGUGCCAGGUGCACAGAGGUGUGCUGUGCUCUCCCAGCACCACCACACUGCCCAAACAGCUGGGCGCUUGUAUGGACCCCCAGCUGGUUCACCCAGAUUCUGCCCAGCACUCUGGCUUGAGUCAAUAUGUGCUGUUGUUGUAACUAACUCUUUUUAUGCAGGCAGUAUGGUAAUCUCCUGUGGUCACAAGUGGGAAACCCCCUCUUUGCAUACCACCUUGUAAAAGCACCUCUCAUGACUCUCCCCAGAACAGAGCCUCCAAAGGGGAAGAUUCCUCUUCAGACCUAUCAGGCAUGAAUGUGAUGAAGGAAAAUGUUCCUGAGGUAUCCUUAGUCCUCCAUGCUGCAAAUUAAAGUUCUUGGAGCUGAGAAUAACAGGGAACUCCAAAAGGAUGUUUCUCUUGAGUUAAAGUCUUAACAGACUUCCCUUGGAUUAUGUCCAAGGCCAGCUCCAACACCAGCCCACCACUGAGUGGGGCUAGGGUGUGUUUCUUUCCCAGAGAAAGAAAUAUCCCCUAUAAAAAAAGGGGUUUUCUUUUCUCUUCUGGGGAUGGGCUUUCCUACGCUCUGUCUAGGUGAGCUGCCACGUAUCUCACCUGCU